AAAUUAAUAAUAAAUUGUCAACGACACGAAAAUUGAUUAGUUAUUACUUAUUAUUCUUCAGAUUACUCCAAUGUAAACAAUCUUGUUGUAUAAUGCAGAUUAAUCAUGAAAGAGCAAAAGUUGAUGAAUUAUCUCGAGAAAUGAAAGAAAAACAUGAAAAUAGGACUAGUUAUUAUGAAACAUCGCGAGCUGGAAAUAUAAGAAUGUUUAAAAUGUAUGAAAAGAGCAUACGCUCAGAACUAAAAAUGCAUCAUAUCUUGGAAAAUGUUGAAUCGG